GACGAACGCUGGCGGCGUGCUUAACACAUGCAAGUCGAACGGAAAGGCGCUGCGUUUGUGGGGUGCUCGAGUGGCGAACGGGGGAGUAACACGUGAGUAACCUGCCCUUGACUGAGGGGUAACUUCAGGAGACUGGGGCGAAUACCGGGUAGGAGCUACUGCAGCACGGGGGGGGUUGGAGAGUGACGGCGGUUGGGGAUGGACUCGAGGCUUAUCAGCUGGUUGGUGGGGUAGGGGCUUACAAAGGCUUUGAAGGGUAGGCGGCCUGGGAGCGUGGACGGCCACCAUGCGCCUGCGAUACGCACCAGACUCCUACGGGAGGCAGCAGUCGGGAAUCUUGCGCAAUGGGCGGAAGCCUGAUGCAGCAACGCCGCGUGCGUGAUGCCCGCCUUCGGGUUGUAAACCGCUUUCUCCUGUGCCGAAGCGUUAGUGACGGUAAUGGGUAAGGAAGCACCGGCUAACUACGUG
rnacentral:rRNA from 1 species